rnacentral:rRNA from 1 species
UACGGGGGGGGCAAGCGUUGUCCGGAAUUAUUGGGCGUAAAGAGCUCGUAGGCGGUGUGUCGCGUCGGCCGUGAAAACCUGCAGCUUAACUGUGGGCUUGCGGUCGAUACGGGCAUCACUGGAGUUCGGCAGGGGAGACUGGAAUUCCUGGUGUAGCGGUGAAAUGCGCAGAUAUCAGGAGGAACACCGGUGGCGAAGGCGGGUCUCUGGGCAGUAACUGACGCUGAGGAGCGAAAGCGUGGGGAGCGAACAGG